GAUGAAGAACGUAGCGAAAUGCGAUAAGUAGUGUGAAUUGCAGAAUUCAGUGAAUCAUCGAAUCUUUGAACGCACAUUGCGCCCUUUGGUAUUCCAAAGGGCAUGCCUGUUCGAGCGUCAUUUGUACCCUCAAGCUUUGCUUGGUGUUGGGCGUCUUGUCUCUAGCUUUGCUGGAGACUCGCCUUAAAGUAAUUGGCAGCCGGCCUACUGGUUUCGGAGCGCAGCACAAGUCGCACUCUCUAUCAGCAAAGGUCUAGCAUCCAUUAAGCCUUUUUUUCAACUUUUGACCUCGGAUCAGGUAGGGACACCCGCUGAACUUAAGCAUAUCAAUAAGCGGAGGA
rnacentral:misc_RNA from 1 species